ensembl:lncRNA
UGAGGGUCUCUUUAUGAGGGGAGAGGAGAGGGUGGCUGGUGGUCUAUGUGGGGAGAGGAGAGGGUGGCUGAGGGUCUCUUUAUGUGGGGAGAGGAGAGGGUGGCUGAGGGUCUCUUUAUGUGGGGAGAGGAGAGGGUGGCUGAUGGUCUCUUUCUGUGGGGAGAGAGGAGAGGAGGGUGGCUGAUGGUCUCUUUAUGUGGGGAGAGGAGAGGGUGGCUGAUGGUCUCUUUAUGAGGGGAGAGGAGAGGGAGGGAGAGGGUGGCUGAUGGUCUCUUUAUGUGGGGAGGGGAGAGGGUGGCUGAUGGUCUCUUUCUGUGGGGAGGGAGAGAGGGUGGCUGAUGGUCUCUUUAUGUGGGGAGAGGAGAGGGUGGCUGAUGGUCUCUUUCUGUGGGGAGGGGAGAGGGUGGCUGAUGGUCUCCAUGUGGGGGGAGGAGAGGGUGGCUGAUGGUCUCUUUAUGAGGGGAGAGGAGAGGGUGGCUGAUGGUCUCUUUAUGAGAGGAGAGUGGCUGAUGGUCUCUUU